rnacentral:ncRNA from 1 species
UACAUUGCGUGGAAAUGAUAAGUACAAAAAAGAAUCUUUCAUCAGAGAGUCUGGGUAGCUGAAAACAGACAAAGAAGGCAUUUUGGAAAAUGGUCAUGGAGCAAUUCGUUGAAGCGAUAAGCGGGUAAACGACGGGAGCAACCGAUAUUUUGCUAGAGUAUGAUAGUACUUGAAGAGGGAAUGUGCGCGAGCAGAUUCUAAAUUAGAGGUGGUAACGCGAAUUUUCGUCCUCAAA